rnacentral:tRNA from 1 species
GAGAUAUUAGUCUAAAAAGACAACUGAUUUCGACUCAGCAAAUUAUGGCUUAACCCCAUAAUAUCUC